rnacentral:rRNA from 1 species
CGGGUGAGUAAUGUCUGGGAAACUGCCCGAUGGAGGGGGAUAACUACUGGAAACGGUAGCUAAUACCGCAUAACGUCGCAAGACCAAAGAGGGGGACCUUCGGGCCUCUUGCCAUCGGAUGUGCCCAGAUGGGAUUAGCUAGUAGGUGGGGUAAUGGCUCACCUAGGCGACGAUCCCUAGCUGGUCUGAGAGGAUGACCAGCCACACUGGAACUGAGACACGGUCCAG